rnacentral:rRNA from 1 species
AGAGUUUGAUCAUGGCUCAGGAUGAACGCUAGAUACAGGCUUAACACAUGCAAGUCGAGGGGAAACGACAUCGAAAGCUUGCUUUUGAUGGGCGUCGACCGGCGCACGGGUGAGUAACGCGUAUCCAACCUGCCCAUCACUUGGGGAUAACCUUGCGAAAGUAAGACUAAUACCCAAUGACGUCUCUAGAAGACAUCUGAAAGAGAUUAAAGAUUUAUCGGUGAUGGAUGGGGAUGCGUCUGAUUAGCUUGUUGGCGGGGUAACGGCCCACCAAGGCGACGAUCAGUAGGGGUUCUGAGAGGAAGGUCCCCCANAUUGGAACUGAGACACGGUCCAAACUCCUACGGGAGGCA